AAGCAAUGAUUCGGAGACUGCAUUAAGUACUGCUUGAACCACUCCCAAGCUUCAUACAGUUGUUCCCCCGAAAGUUUCUUAAACUCAAAAAUUUUAUCUUUGAAAAC